GCUUCCGUAGCUCAGUUGGUUAGAGCUUCGUACUAAUAAAACGUUAGUGAUGCGGAGGCCGCAGGUUCAAGCCCUGCCGGGAGCA
rnacentral:tRNA from 1 species